rnacentral:lncRNA from 1 species
GAAAGAAAAUAGAUGAACCAACUUAAAAUCGUUAAAGGACACGUGGAUGAUGAACAACUUUAGAAACUACAACGUUGCCUGUGGGGGAGUCGACGUUUUUCUGCGAUACAAAAAAUUUGAAUGAAAGAAUAGUAAGAAUCAGCCUUGGGAAAUAUCAACCAGGAGAAUUCAGGGAAGAUUCUUCCUAACAGAAGUACUUGAUGAAGAAUUGAUGGAAAUACUGAAGCAGA